CACUUGGUGGCGAUAAAAGGAACUGGCGUCUGACAAGCCGGGUCUGUCUGCUCCGGCUUUUGAUGUUGCUGCCUCAGGGCUUUGAUUAAACGUCUCACUUUUGUAGAGGUUGUCGUCAUGCUUGCCCUGGAGGGUCACUGCAAAAUAUAAAAAUAGGAAGCUUCAUGAAUCGAUUGUGCAGCAGCCCUACUGCGCUUCCUCUGAUAUAGCCACGAUUAACAACACAACAGUGUUGAUAAUCUAACUUGUGAAUUACCACAGGUGCACGUUGAAGGCGGAAAUGAAAAUGGCUUGCAACUGGUGCAUGAAGAAAUUACCGACAGGUUAGCUGCAGUCCAGCUGCCACCAACAGGGUGGAAAACAAACUGCUAUCUCCCUGUUCAAGCGCUUUUGCUGUCCAAACACUGGUUCCUGUGGAUGGGGUGGUAGAAGCUCCACUGUCUGAUAUAGAAGUAGUGAACAACCCUAAGGACACAUGCAAGAAAGCACAUCGGAAUUUCAACAAAUAAUCCACGAAAAAGCCAGUCAAUGCUAACACCAGGACCAUCCUGCUACCAGUCAGGGACGUUACAUUUCAUGCUCUCAUUCACUUUUCGUGAAUUACUUGUUGACUUUGUCCCAUGGUAAACCUCCCCGCAGCUCAUUUGCCUAUCGGUUAAUGUUGCGGCUUGUGUUGUGAUUUUCUGUUUGCGUGUUCCAGACUCAGAACAGUCACUUUCGAUCAGGUCACGUACAUUGCAUUUAGACACGACAAACAGGAAGCGGUGUUUCUCAACACAACUUAGCAGUGGCCUUCCUGCACUACUACUCUGGCCAUUAAGCGUGAAUGGAAAGCCGCAAAUCAUAUUCACUGCACUUUUAUUCGUGCUAUAUAAUCCUGUUCGAGUUCUGUCAAAGGAGCGUGUAAUGCCACGCAACAUAGUAAUAUAGUUCAGUGCUUCCUUGAAAUGGGAGGAACGGCAGCAGUGAUGGCCACUAACUACUUCUACAGUAGUUUAACUAUAACUACUAACUACUUUGUGAUUGAGUAGUUUAACUAGUAGUUCAGCUACUUUUCAGGGGAGUAGUUAAAACUACUUUUUUAACUACUGCAAUGUAGUUUAACUACAUCUAUAACUACUUAACGUUGUCCACCAACACCAAUCCCUUGUAGUGUUCUUGGACACCUAAAUAUCAAUCACAAGCAAUAAUAAACUUUGGCUCAAGCCAUUGCUACGAUCGUCAAAUACAAAGCUUGCGGCGGGAUUCUUUCUAUGCCUACGCGAUAAACUAAGUUGCAGAAUUAUUUCACAGCAUAUGAGGCUUCACUAGACAAGCAUUAAACGUAGAGGUAUGCAAAUAUUCGAAAUUUCGAAUAUUUGCGAUAUUCGAUUCAUAUUCGUAUUCGAAAAUUUGAUAUUUGAAGUUUUGGAAUAUUCGUAAAAGUUAGAAUAUGUAUUCGACUUGUUUUUUCGCAUAUCACAGCAACUUAUUCCGAAGCUGUUUCGGGCUGCGCACUGGAUUUUGUACUUUGUGGCGACGAACAUGAAUAGUAGAACAGCUGCAAAGCGACACGCGGAGCUUCCCAGGUACGCUCGUUUGCGAAUGCGUCGCUAUACGUUCGGUAACCGAAACCGAAACUAGUACGGAGUUGUGUGCGGUCGCCAUUUUAGAGUCCGCCCCACCGAAACCCGAGACCGCGGUACGUUUCAUACAUCGUCAGCACUGUCGCGGCUUUAGUGGAUUGCUAGCGAACGCUGAACAUUCGUAUGAGGCCUACAGUUCGGUGAAAUUACGGUUAAAUAUCGAAAUUUUGUUGACGUUGAGCUGAACACCGCUGUUCAGCGUCCAAUUGCAUGCACAGCCAAAACCUGCGUUUCGAAUGCGUCUUUUUCGGUUUCGUUUUGUGGUUGUCAGCGAUAUAUGAUAGAAUCAUGGUCGCGUGCGAUGACGGCAAUAAUCGAGGAGUGGGACGUGUUGAUAUUUCGACAUAGUUUCUCCAACUCCGGCGCUCUGCGACCGUAUGAAAGCGCCAACUAGGGCGACAGUAACGCUGCAGUCAUUUGAAACUGCGCUAGCUGUUGUUACAGAUGAUAGCAAGACGCAUAUAUAGCCUUAAGCCGGACCUUCACGGAGCGAUUUUGCUCGCGACUCACGCGUGUCGCCGUCGGCGCGACAAAGUUUGAGGCCCGCGCGCAGAUUUCCGCCGUGAAAUGAAAGGAGCGCUGAAUACGAACGUCGCGGAAACAAUCACGCGUGAUACAGCCAUACAACAUCGUCGAGGAUCGCAGUUUUACUGCGCUAUAAUGCAUGAGGCCGUUCCAAACUAUGCAUUACCGUAAGUAACGAUGGUCUCACGCGUGAUGUCACGCGUGAGAGCAGUGAAACCGUGCAUUUUCUCGCCUUCACGACAAAUGCGGAAGGCAUUGUCAAUGCAAGAAGAGAUCACUUGCCACCAUCAUUUUCCUUCUGAGGUGCUCAUCACUAAAUCAUCCCACACUCUGAACAUGUCAUUGCUCUUCACUUCCAUUCUGUCUGUUUCACCAGCACUUUACAAUGCCAACACAGGUGUUCACUGUUCAUGAAAGAUUUUUGAACUGAAAGUUUUUUCUUGCGGUUUUCAGCUUGCCUCAUGAAAACAGCACACUGUUUCAUUGUAAAAAUAAUUUUACUGUACAUGUGCAUAUAAGCAUGUAUACCCUAUGCUAAGCCAAAACAUUAAUACAUAUUCCUCAUUAGCACUUGGGACAUUUUUCUAAGGAUCAGCAGAACACAACUGUGACGAUGCUUGUUUUCGGGGCUUAAUUAACUUAAUUAACUCUUAGAAGCCGUUAUCCUAUGUGUGGUAUUCGAUAUUCGAUUCGUAUUCGAAAAUUUCAAUAUUCGCACACCUCUAAUUAAAAGUGAAGGUUUAGUACACAUGCACGACACAAUUGCUCUGCACCCCCGUUCUCACCAAACAAGUAGCUCAGGGCAAAAUUCGGAAGCACAAUCGUGCCCUAAAGCUUGCGGCAAAAUUGGAAGUAGUUGGCGCCUUCAGUAACCUAACUACUGUAGUUAACUACUUAAAAUAGUAGUUUAACUAGUAGUUGCCACUACAUUUCUGCAAGUAGCUGAUAACUACUUUUUAACUACAAUCAGAUAGUUUAACUAGUAGUUAGCUACUGGCCAUCACUGCGGCAGCACAUGAAUGCAGGGAGGAAACUGUCAUGUUAUGACAAGUGUUUACGUAUUGUACAUCUAACUUAGAUUUCUUAGAUUUCGUCGAUAGUUUCGCCUUUCUCAUCCGCGUCCCGAUCUGUGGUGAAACUGUAAUGUCUGAAAUGUUUUGGAGUCGCGCACAAACAGUUUACCAGGUGACUCUGUGGACCAUCAGGGAAGCACUGCAGAAAAGUCAUUAAGGCAUGUGCUAUAUAUGCCAUUAGGGAAAACUUUCCUUCUGAAGCAUGCAAAGGUUUUUGUCUUUUUGAUGUGUGAUGCAGUAGUUGUUGUCUGACAGUAUGUAUGUUUCUUACCUUUCACUAAGGAGAAGCUUUCACUUUGUUUUCAGGUGCUUGUGGGCAGCAUUGAAUGCCUGCCACCUUGACAGACUACACUGGAUGGUUUGGUCCUGAACACUGCGAGAUCACAACUGUAUCCCUUUCAUGCACAAUAGAGGCCUGCCAUAUACCAUUCUGGAGUAACCAGACAGCCACUACACAAUAAAUACGUUCUACAAACAUCAAAGCUUUGAACAGGUGUUUGCUACAAACAUGUUCCAGUCCAUAAACUCUAAGAGAGCAUAGGUUAUCAU